rnacentral:lncRNA from 1 species
CAUUUUUAGUUAAUGAGAAGCCAGCUUUAUUUAGCUCUAUUAAGCACUGCAUUUGAAGUGCUUUUAGGAUUGCAAGCCAUCAUUAUAAGUCACAACACUUGUCAAGUUAGAGGUGGGGUAUUUUUUUGGAAAGGAUAAUUAAGAACGUCUUUCAAAUGCAUCUGAUGAGUGUUUUCCUCCUUUUCCCUGGUGCCCAUAGAGUUCGCUAUCUAGUGAACUGCAGUCCGGCAGGAAGCACGAUGGCCUGGAAAGGCCACAAGAAGGAAUCUCCUGUGAAGGGACAGCAGGCAGGGAAAUUAAAUGGAAGGGCAAAGAGCAGCCACAGCAACACGCAUGUGCCGCCAGUUACCAGAAACGAUCUACCGAGUGUUAAAAAGCGCAAACAACAAGCAGGACAAAAAAGCCGAAAGCAACUUGAUUUAAGAAGAACAGGGAGAUUAGUGCUUCUUGCGGCUUGGGGACGACAGAACUGGCAAGCGGCGCUGUCAAAAUAG